rnacentral:tRNA from 1 species
GCACUGGUGGUUCAGAGGUAGAAUUCUUGCCUUCCAUGCGGGAGACUUGGGUUCGAUUCCCAGCCAAUGCA